rnacentral:rRNA from 1 species
AGUGGCGCACGGGUGCGUAACGCGUGGGAACCUGCCUUUAGGUUCGGAAUAACAGUUAGAAAUGACUGCUAAUACCGGAUAAUGUCUUCGGACCAAAGAUUUAUCGCCUUUAGAUGGGCCCGCGUAGGAUUAGAUAGUUGGUGGGGUAAUGGCCUACCAAGUCGACGAUCCUUAGCUGGUCUGAGAGGAUGAUCAGCCACACUGGGACUGAGACACGGCCCAGACUCCUACGGGAGGCAGCAGUGGGGAAUAUUGGACAAUGGGCGAAAGCCUGAUCCAGCAAUGCCGCGUGAGUGAUGAAGGCCUUAGGGUUGUAAAGCUCUUUUACCAGGGAUGAUAAUGACGGUACCUGGAGAAUAAGCUCCGGCUAACUCCGUGCCAGCAGCCGCGGUAAUACGGAGGGAGCUAGCGUUGUUCGGAAUUACUGGGCGUAAAGCGCACGUAGGCGGCUUUCCAAGUCAGGGGUGAAAUCCCGGGGCUCAACCCCGGAACUGCCCUUGAAACUGGAUGGCUAGAAUACUGGAGAGGUGAGUGGAAUUCCGAGUGUAGAGGUGAAAUUCGUAGAUAUUCGGAAGAACACCAGUGGCGAAAGCGACUCACUGGACAGUUAUUGACGCUGAGUGCGAAAGCGUGGGGAGCAAACAGGAUUAGAUACCCUGUAGUCCACGCCGA